rnacentral:rRNA from 1 species
GGGUUGUGAGGUUAAGCGACUAAGCGUACACGGUGGAUGCCCUGGCAGUCAGAGGCGAUGAAGGACGUGCUAAUCUGCGAUAAGCGUCGGUAAGGUGAUAUGAACCGUUAUAACCGGCGAUUUCCGAAUGGGGAAACCCAGUGUGUUUCGACACACUAUCAUUAACUGAAUCCAUAGGUUAAUGAGGCGAACCGGGGGAACUGAAACAUCUAAGUACCCCGAGGAAAAGAAAUCAACCGAGAUUCCCCCAGUAGCGGCGAGCGAACGGGGAGGAGCCCAGAGCCUGAAUCAGUGUGUGUGUUAGUGGAAGCGUCUGGAAAGGCGCGCGAUACAGGGUGACAGCCCCGUACACAAAAAUGCACAUGCUGUGAGCUCGAUGAGUAGGGCGGGACACGUGGUAUCCUGUCUGAAUAUGGGGGGACCAUCCUCCAAGGCUAAAUACUCCUGACUGACCGAUAGUGAACCAGUACCGUGAGGGAAAGGCGAAAAGAACCCCGGCGAGGGGAGUGAAAAAGAACCUGAAACCGUGUACGUACAAGCAGUGGGAGCAUGCUUAGGCGUGUGACUGCGUACCUUUUGUAUAAUGGGUCAGCGACUUAUAUUCUGUAGCAAG